AUGCCAAAAGGGAAGAAGGCCAAGGGGAAGAAGGUGGCUCCAGCUGCUGCUGUCGCGAAGAAGCAGGAGGCCAGGAAAGUGGUGAAUCCCGUGUUGGAGAAAAGGCCUAAGAAUCUUGGCAUUGGACAGCACACCCAACCCAAAAGGGACCUCACUUGCUUUGUCAAAUGGCCCCACUUUAUCAGGUUGCAGAGGCAAAGAGCGAUCCUCUAAACAUGGCUGAAAGUGCCUCCUGCAACGAACCAGUUCACCCAGGCCUUGGACCCCCAAAGAGCUACUCAACUGUAAUACAUAAGCUGGCCCACUAGUACAGACCAGAGACAAAGCAAGAGAAGAAGCAGAGGCUGCUGGCCUGGACUGAGAAGAAAGCUGCCAGCAAAGGGGACUUCCCCACUAAGAGACCACCUGUUUUUCGAGCAGGAGUUAUCACCAUUGCCACCUUGGUGGAGAAUAAGAAGGCUCAGCUGGUGGUGACUGGACAUGAUGUGGAUCCCAUCGAGCUAGUUUUGAUAGUGCAUUUUUCUGUGUUGUAAAAUAAAGGUCACUGACUGCAUUAUCAAGGGGAAGGUAAGACUGGGAUGUCUAGUCCACAGGAACACCUGCACCACUGUCACCACACAGCCUAACUUGGAAGACAAAGAAGCUUCGGCUCAGCUGGAGGAAGCCAUCAGAACCAAUUAGAACAGCAGAUACGAUGAGAUCCAUCAUCACUGGGGAGGCAAUGUCCUGGCUCCCAAGUCUGUGGCUCUCAUUGCCAAGCUGGAAAAGCCAAGGCUAAAGAACUUGCCACCAAACUGGGUUA
rnacentral:lncRNA from 1 species